UUCAGGAGAAUGUCAAUGAUGUUGACAGUGAACUUAAUGAAGCUGUCAUUUGACUGACAAAUUCCGAAUUUAGCGGACGCGUGUUUGUUUUCCACGGUCAUUAGUUUGUCAAUUUCAUUUCCAAAUAUGGCUGAAACGUUUUCAUUGUUAGUGAUGCCUUUUUUAAUCAAUUUGUACUUCAGUAUGUUCAUUAGGCGAUGCAAUGUACUAUUCAAUGUUUGCAGAGUAUUUAUAACAACCUUCUGCAUUCCAUCUUUCGUUUUUAUGGAUUGUUUUUUUGUUGUAUCUACAAAAGCACCGUAUUUUAUUUUGAAAUUGCGCGCCAGCAUGCCGUGCAAGCUAAUUGAUGGUAUCGAGUGUAUACCACCACCGCCCGUCUUCGUUUUGAACGCUUCCAAUACGCAAUAAGAUUGUUCUACUCACGUAUGUUAAAUGGAAAUAAAUGAUAAGCAUUUUCGCUGCGUUAACGAUAA